ACUUGCUCAAGAUCACACAGAAGAAAAGAGUGGGGCUGAAGUCUGAACCCCUGUGCCAAUGUUGGACUUCUGCACUCUGCUACCUUGCCUGGACCCUGCCCUUUUCUGCACACUUCUUUCUCGAGGACAUGGAAAGGAAAAAGAAAGUGCUUAUUUCCUGUGCAAACCAGUGGCCCAAUGACAGAGACAAAUAAUGCGCAAAGAAAUUAAUUACAAGUUACAAAAUGGAAUGAUGAACACAUUCUACAACGUACUGGACUCUGGAGUAACAAAUGGAUGUCAGUGAUGAGAACUCUCCUGUAGAAUGCCCUAAAAAAACUUGGAAGGAUCUUUGUAAAAUAGAAUUCACCUUUUCUGUUACCAACCUGUGAAGAUUUUCUUAGCAAGCUGACCUUCAAAUUACCCAGCGGUAAGUAGCC